rnacentral:rRNA from 1 species
GACGAACGCUGGCGGCGUGCCUAACACAUGCAAGUCGAACGGAAAGGCCCUGCUCUUGUGGGGCGCUCGAGUGCCGAACGGGUGAGUAACACGCGAGUAACCUGCCCCUGACUUUGGGAUAACUCCAGGAAACUCGGGCUCAUACCGGAUAGGAGCUCCUGCUGCACGGUGGGGGAUGGAAAGAUUCGGCGGUAGGGGAUGGACUAGCGGCUUAUCAGCUUGUUGGUGGGGUAGUGGCUUACCAAGGCUUUGACGGGUAGCCGGCCUGGGAGGGUGGCCGGCCACAAUGGGACUAAGAUACGGACCAGACGCCUACGGGAGGCAGCGGUGGGGAAUAUUACGCAAUAGGCGGAAGCCAGAUGCAGCGGCGCCGGGUGCGGGAUGACGGCCUUCGGGUUGUGAACCGCUUUCGCCUGUGACGAAGCGUGAGUGACGGUAAUGGGUAAAGAAGCACCGGCUAACUACGUG